rnacentral:rRNA from 1 species
UCGGAUUUACUGGGCGUAAAGCGUGCGUAGGCGGCUUAUUAAGUCGGAUGUGAAAUCCCCGAGCUUAACUUGGGAAUUGCAUNCGAUACUGGUGAGCUAGAGUAUGGGAGAGGAUGGUAGAAUUCCAGGUGUAGCGGUGAAAUGCGUAGAGAUCUGGAGGAAUACCGAUGGCGAAGGCAGCCAUCUGGCCUAAUACUGACGCUGAGGUACGAAAGCAUGGGGAGCAAACAGGAUUAGAUACCCUGGUAGUCCAUGCCGUAAACGAUGUCUACUAGCCGUUGGGGCCUUUGAGGCUUUAGUGGCGCAGCUAACGCGAUAAGUAGACCGCCUGGGGAGUACGGCCGCAAGACUAAAACUCAAAUGAAUUGACGGGGGCCCCCACAAGCGGUGGAGCAUGUGGUUUAAUUCGAUGCAACGCGAAGAACCUUACCUGGCCUUGACAUACUAGAAACUUUCCAGAGAUGGAUUGGUGCCUUCGGGAAUCUAGAUACAGGUGCUGCAUGNCUGUCGUCAGCUCGUGUCGUGAGAUGUUGGGUUAAGUCCCGCAACGAGCGCAACCCUUUUCCUUACUUGCCAGCAUUUCGGAUGGGAACUUUAAGGAUACUGCCAGUGACAAACUGGAGGAAGGCGGGGACGACGUCAAGUCAUCAUGGCCCUUACGGCCAGGGCUACACACGUGCUACAAUGGUCGGUACAAAGGGUUGCUACACAGCGAUGUGAUGCUAAUCUCACAAAGCCGAUCGUAGUCCGGAUUGGAGUCUGCAACUCGACUCCAUGAAGUCGGAAUCGCUAGUAAUCGCGGAUCAGAAUGCCGCGGUGAA